rnacentral:tRNA from 1 species
GCCGAUAUAGCUCAGCUGGUAGAGCAACUGACUUGUAAUCAGUAGGUCCCGGGUUCGACUCCUGGUGUCGGCACCA